rnacentral:rRNA from 1 species
GGUUUCGAUUCUGGCUCAGGAUGAACGCUGGCGGCGUGCCUAACACAUGCAAGUCGAGCGAUUACUUCGGUAAAGAGCGGCGGACGGGUGAGUAACGCGUGGGUAACCUGCCUCAUACACAUGGAUAACAUACCGAAAGGUAUGCUAAUACAGGAUAAUAUAAGAGAUUCACAUGGAUUUCUUAUCAAAGCUCCGGCGGUAUGAGAUGGACCCGCGUCUGAUUAGCUAGUUGGUAAGGUAAUGGCUUACCAAGGCGACGAUCAGUAGCCGACCUGAGAGGGUGAUCGGCCACAUUGGAACUGAGACACGGUCCAAACUCCUACGGGAGGCAGCAGUGGGGAAUAUUGCACAAUGGGCGAAAGCCUGAUGCAGCAACGCCGCGUGAGUGAUGAAGGCCUUCGGGUCGUAAAACUCUGUCCUCAAGGAAGAUAAUGACGGUACUUGAGGAGGAAGCCCCGGCUAACUACGUGCCAGCAGCCGC